UAACCAUCAAGCCCUGCUUGGUAUUGGGUGUCACCCCUGUGGUGUGCCUUAAAAUCAGUGGCGGUGCUGCUUGGCCCCUAAGCGUAGUAAUCUCUCUCGCUAUAGGGUUCCGGUGGAUACUUGCCAUCAAGCCUUAAUUCUACAG
rnacentral:misc_RNA from 1 species